rnacentral:rRNA from 1 species
GGCCUUUUGAAUUUAAUAUAAGGUCUGACCUGCCCAGUGAUAAUUUUAACGGCCGCGGUAUACUGACCGUGCAAAGGUAGCAUAAUCAUUAGUCUUUUAAUAGAGGGCUGGAAUGAAAGGUUUAACGAGGAACUGACUGUCUCAUUUUAUUUGUUUUAAAAUUUAAUUUUUUAGUUAAAAAGCUAAAAUUUUAUUGGUAGACGAGAAGACCCUAUAGAGCUUUACAUAAAAUUAAUUUGAUAUUUUUAUAUUAAUAUUUCUAAUUAAUUUUAUGUUUUGUUGGGGUGACAAAAAUAUAUAAUUAACUAUUUUAUUUAAUUAACAUUGAUUUAUGAGUAUUAGAUCCAUUAUUAUUGAUUAUUAGAUUAAGUUACCUUAGGGAUAACAGCGUAAUCUUCCUCCAGAGUUCAUAUUUACAGGAUGGGCUUGCGACCUCGAUGUUGGAUUAAGAUAAUAAUUGGGUGUAGCAACUUAAUUAAUAGGUCUGUUCGACCUUUAAAUUCUU